rnacentral:rRNA from 1 species
ACAGGGAGACAGGUGGUGCAUGGUUGUCGUCAGCUCGUGUCGUGAGAUGUUGGGUUAAGUCCCGCAACGAGCGCAACCCCUACGUUUAGUUGCUAACAGGUGAAGCUGAGCACUCUAGACGAACUGCCGUUGACAAAACGGAGGAAGGUGGGGAUGACGUCAAAUCAUCAUGCCCCUUAUGUUCUGGGCUACACACGUGCUACAAUGGCCGGUACAGACGGAGGCGAAGCCGCGAGGCGGAGCAAAUCCGAAAAAGCCGGUCUCAGUUCGGAUUGCAGGCUGCAAUUCGCCUGCAUGAAGUCGGAAUCGCUAGUAAUCGCAGGUCAGCAUACUGCGGUGAAUACGUUCCCGGGCCUU